CCCAUUUUCGGCCAACGGUGAGUCCAUGCUCUCCCAUGGUUGAUUUUUGAUGUCCUUCCUCAAAUCUUUCAAGUUUUAACAAGUUUUAACUUGGUUUGAAGAUAUUUGAGCAAAAAGAGUGAAGUUGGAAACUUGGAGACCUCAGGAGCUCGAUCUCUCCCAUCUCCGAGUUGGAUCGCCUCUCCUCUCGAUCUUCAAGAGGUAAGAGUAGAUCUCUAACUCAUU
rnacentral:lncRNA from 1 species